AUCAGUACUGUGAGUUAGUAGUAGACUUUCAACUGGAGAAGCAUGACUGAGAAGGAUUGAGGUAGCAGUGAAUGGAUCAAACCUGAAGCUCCCACACCCUACAUGACAAAUGUAAUUAUGAAGAAACUUCAAAAAAAAGCUGGACAGGAUGCCGGAUGCUAGCACACAGGACUGGAUGAGGAUGGUGCCUGGCCCCCCAUGACCCAAUCUCAGUACAAAGGGGUGAGGGCCUUCAGAGCCCAAUCCAAUCUUGGGUUGUCUUCAUCUAGGCCACAACAAUUUGAGUAAGUCAGAGGCUUGGAAAACUGGCUUUAAUUAAAAAAAGCCCAACUAGUGAGGCCCUCAGCUUGUUUGUGAACAGAAAACUGG